GCAGUUUCCAGCAACUAGGACGCCAUUUCAAUAGGCAUUUAUUAGUAGCUUGAAAUGCCUCCAGGACUUUGGCGCGUGUUUAUCACUGGCCUGCUGGAUUAGUAUUACAUUUCAGCAGUAUUUUUCAGAAUCUGCCUGCGACUCAUUGGAGAUUGGUUCAGCACCCCUACAUCAAUGACAGACGAGGUUUCUAAGAAGUCACCUCAUUGCUGCCGUUUGGCAUUCACCCAUCAAAAUUGAUUAGUUUUUCCCGAAAUAAACACAUCAAAGAAGUGUCCAGGCAUAAAACAUUAAAUUGAUUUAAAAUUUUAAUUGAGCGUGAUUAACUGAGAAAAAGCAAAGGUGAAUGGCGUGCUAUUUGUCAUUAAACACUGCCAUCCUG
ensembl:lncRNA